rnacentral:rRNA from 1 species
GACAAGAAGCAAACUGUCUCAAAUACAAUAAUUGAAUUUGACUUUUAAGUGAAAAGGCUUAAAUAUUUUAAAGGGACGAUAAGACCCUAUAAAGCUUAAUAAUUUAGUAUACAAUUAGAUGAGUUAAAAGUUUAAUAUUAUUUAUAUACUGAAUUAUUUCGUUGGGGCGACGAUGAUAUAAUUUGUAACUGUUUAAAUCUAAAAUACAGAGAUAUUUGUGUGUAAUGAUCCUUGUUGUUGAUUAAAAAUUUAAGUUACUUUAGGGA